rnacentral:misc_RNA from 1 species
GUUUCCUCGUCUGACUACAAGGUCGAUAAUGACAAAUGAUCAGCAUGAACUUUUCAGUAAGUUCUUGAAAUUGAAACCUCCAGUCUUCAAGGGUGCUGAAUCUGAGGAUGCCUACGAUUUUCUAGUUGACUGUCAUGAGCUACUACACAAGAUGGGUAUAGUAGAACGGUUUGGUGUUGAGUUUAUGACUUAUCAGUUUCAAG